GUAACCUGCCUUGGAGUGGGGAAUAACAGUUGGAAACAGCUGCUAAUACCGCAUAAUAUGUCUGUGUCGCAUGGCACUGGGCAUCAAAGAUUUAUCGCUCUGAGAUGGACUCGCGUCUGAUUAGCUAGUUGGCGGGGUAACGCCCACCAAGGCGACGAUCAGUAGCCGGACUGAGAGGUUGACCGGCCACAUUGGGACUGAGAUACGGCCCAGACUCCUACGGAAGGCAGCAG
rnacentral:rRNA from 1 species